rnacentral:tRNA from 1 species
AUUUAAGUAGCUUAAAUUUAGAGCAUAAUAUUGAAGAUGUUAGGGUAGUAGUGAACUCUUAAAUA